rnacentral:rRNA from 1 species
CAAUAGCGUAUAUUUAAGUUGCUGCAGUUAAAAAGCUCGUAGUUGGAUUUCGGGUGGGAAUGGCCGGUCCGCCGUUUCGGUGUGCACUUGCUACGCCCACCUUGCUGCCGGGGACGUGCUCUUGAGUUCACGCUCGGGCCACGGAGUCGGCGAGGUUACUUUGAGUAAAUUAGAGUGUUCAAAGCAGGCCUACGCUCUGAAUACAUUAGCAUGGAAUAACACGAUAGGACUCUGGCCUAUCUUGUUGGUCUGUAGGACCGGAGUAAUGAUUAAGAGGGACAGUCGGGGGCAUUCGUAUUUCAUUGUCAGAGGUGAAAUUCUUGGAUUUAUGAAAGACGAACUACUGCGAAAGCAUUUGCCAAGGAUGUUUUCAUUAA